rnacentral:rRNA from 1 species
UACGGAGGAUGCAAGCGUUAUCCGGAAUGAUUGGGCGUAAAGCGUCCGCAGGUGGCUAUGUAAGUCUGCUGUUAAAGCGUCUGGCUCAACCAGAUAAAGGCAGUGGAAACUACAUGGCUAGAGUGCGUUCGGGGCAGAGGGAAUUCCUGGUGUAGCGGUGAAAUGCGUAGAGAUCAGGAAGAACACCGGUGGCGAAAGCGCUCUGCUAGGCCGCAACUGACACUGAGGGACGAAAGCUAGGGGAGCGAAUGGG